rnacentral:tRNA from 1 species
AGCUUUAUAGUCAAUAAUGACAUUAGACUGCAAUUCUAAAGGAAUAAUUUAUAUUUAUUAAGGCUU